GACGAACGCUGGCGGCGUGCUUAACACAUGCAAGUCGAACGGAAAGGCCCUGCUUUUGUGGGGUGCUCGAGUGGCGAACGGGUGAGUAACACGUGAGUAACCUGCCCUUGACUUUGGGAUAACUUCAGGAAACUGGGGCUAAUACCGGAUAGGAGCUCCUGCUGCAUGGUGGGGGUUGGAAAGUUUCGGCGGUUGUGGAUGGACUCGCGGCUUAUCAGCUUGUUGGUGGGGUAGUGGCUUACCAAGGCUUUGACGGGUAGCCGGCCUGAGAGGGUGACCGGCCACAUUGGGACUGAGAUACGGCCCAGACUCCUACGGGAGGCAGAAGGGGGGAAUAUUGCACAAUGGGCGGAAGCCUGAGGCAGAAACGCCGCGUGCGGGAUGACGGCUUUCGGGUUGUAAACCGCUUUCGCCUGUGACGAAGCGUGAGUGACGGUAAUGGGUAAAGAAGCACCGGCUAACUACGUG
rnacentral:rRNA from 1 species